AAGACUAUAGACCUGCGGAGUACCUGCGGAAGGAUCAUUACCGAGUGCGGGCCCUCUGGGUCCAACCUCCCACCCGUGUUUAUUGUACCUUGUUGCUUCGGCGGGCCCGCCAUUCUGGCCGCCGGGGGGCUUGCCCCGGGCCCGCGCCCGCCGAAGACACCCUCGAACUCUGUCUGAAGAUUGUAGUCUGAGUGGAAUUAUAAAUUAUUAAAACUUUCAGCAACGGAUCUCUAGAUCGGA
rnacentral:misc_RNA from 1 species